GUCCCAUCCUAUCUCCUUCUUUAUGAGUAGUUAAGGCAUAAAUUCUUUCCACAGCAGUAAAGGGUGUCAGUGCGUUAGACUAGUCUAACCAGCAGCAUGCCUUAAAGGGAAUCACUAUGACCUAAUUCAAGUGGUGAGAAUCCCAGGGAGCGGGUCAGGCCUACCUCUAAAGCGUGUGCUUGGGCCUCAGCAGCAGCCUGGCGCACUACAGCCCACCAGAGCCGGACCAGCCUGGGAAGGAAGAGCGACUCCCCCCCAGGGAAGCCUGCAAGGGCUAAAGGAAGAAGCAUAUACUUCUUUCCAACCUCCCAAGCAACAGUUCAGCUCACCAGUGGACCAGACCUCCAAUCCACAUCGCUAAUCAACUGCCCCUGAUUCUUGAAGUUCAAUUGGUCAGA
rnacentral:lncRNA from 1 species